rnacentral:rRNA from 1 species
GACGAACGCUGGCGGCGUGCCUAAUACAUGCAAGUCGAGCGAGACUCUUCGGAGUCUAGCGGCGGACGGGUGAGUAACACGUGGGCAACCUGCCUGUAAGACUGGGAUAACACCGGGAAACCGGAGCUAAUACCGGAUAAUCCUUUUCCUCUCAUGAGGAAAAGCUGAAAGUCGGUUUCGGCUGACACUUACAGAUGGGCCCGCGGCGCAUUAGCUAGUUGGUGAGGUAACGGCUCACCAAGGCGACGAUGCGUAGCCGACCGGAGAGGGUGAUCGGCCACACUGGGACUGAGACACGGCCCAGACUCCUACGGGAGGCAGCAGUAGGGAAUCUUCCACAAUGGUCGAAAGUCUGAUGGAGCAACGCCGCGUGAGCGAUGAAGGCCUUCGGGUCGUAAAGCUCUGUUGUUAGGGAAGAACAAGUACCGGAGUAACUGCCGGUACCUCGACGGUACCUAACCAGAAAGCCACGGCUAACUACGUGCCAGCAGCCGCAGUAAUAC